CUACGGGUGGCAGCAGUGAGGAAUAUUGCACAAUGGGGGGAACCCUGAUGCAGCAACGCCGCGUGGAGGAUGACGCAUUUCGGUGUGUAAACUCCUUUUAUAUGUCAAGAAAAUGACGGUAGCAUAUGAAUAAGCACCGGCUAACUCCGUGCCAGCAGCCGCGGUAAUACGGAGGGUGCAAGCGUUACUCGGAAUCACUGGGCGUAAAGGACGCGUAGGCGGGUUGGAAAGUCAGGUGUGAAAUCCUACAGCUUAACUGUAGAACUGCACUUGAAACUUCUAAUCUAGAGUAUGGGAGGGGGAGAUGGAAUUAGUGGUGUAGGGGUAAAAUCCGUAGAUAUCACUAGGAAUACCUAAAGCGAAGGCGAUCUCCUGGAACAUUACUGACGCUAAGGCGUGAAAGCGUGGGGAGCAAACAGGAUUAGAUACCCUCGUUAGUC
rnacentral:rRNA from 1 species